rnacentral:rRNA from 1 species
AGAUUGAACGCUGGCGGCAUGCCUUACACAUGCAAGUCGAACGGCAGCACGGGGGCAACCCUGGUGGCGAGUGGCGAACGGGUGAGUAACAUAUCGGAACGUGCCCUGGAGUGGGGGAUAACUAGUCGAAAGACUAGCUAAUACCGCAUACGAUCUACGGAUGAAAGUGGGGGAUCGCAAGACCUCAUGCUCGUGGAGCGGCCGAUAUCUGAUUAGCUAGUUGGUGGGUAAAGGCUACCAAGGCAUCGAUCAGUAGCUGGUCUGAGAGGACGACCAGCCACACUGGGACUGAGACACGGCCCAGACUCCUACGGGAGCAGCAGUGGGGAAUUUUGGACAAUGGGCGCAAGCCUGAUCCAGCAAUGCCGCGUGAGUGAAGAAGGCCUUCGGUUGUAAAGCUCUUUGUCAGGAAGAAACGGUUCUGGCUAAUAUCGUGGAGCUAAUGACGGUACCUGAAGAAUAAGCGACCGCUAACUACGUGACCG